UCCAGACUCCUACGGGAGGCAGCAGUGGGGAAUAUUGCACAAUGGGGGAAACCCUGAUGCAGCGACGCCGCGUGAAGGAUGAAGUAUUUCGGUAUGUAAACUUCUAUCAACAGGGAAGAAAUGACGGUACCUGACUAAGAAGCCCCGGCUAACUACGUGCCAGCAGCCGCGGUAAUACGUAGGGGGCAAGCGUUAUCCGGAUUUACUGGGUGUAAAGGGAGCGUAGACGGCAAUGCAAGUCUGGAGUGAAAGGCGGGGGCCCAACCCCCGGACUGCUCUGGAAACUGUAUAGCUGGAGUGCAGGAGAGGUAAGUGGAAUUCCUAGUGUAGCGGUGAAAUGCGUAGAUAUUAGGAGGAACACCAGUGGCGAAGGCGGCUUACUGGACUGUAACUGACGUUGAGGCUCGAAAGCGUGGGGAGCAAACAGGAUUAGAUACCCCGGUACAC
rnacentral:rRNA from 1 species